rnacentral:rRNA from 1 species
GACGAACGCUGGCGGCGUGCUUAACACAUGCAAGUCGAACGGAAAGGCCUGCUUUUCCUUGUGGUUUGCGGGUACGCGAGUGGCGAACGGGCGAGUAACACGUGAGUGAUCUGCCCGCAACUUGGGUAUAAGCCCGGGAAACUGGGUCUAAUUCCCGCUAGGACCGCAGUGUGGUGCCGGUGGUGGAAAACGUUCUUCUAGUGGUUGGGGAUGAGCUCGCGGCCUAUCAGGUUGUUGGUGGGGUAAUGGCCUACCAAGGCGGCGACGGGUAGCCGGCGUGAGAGGGGGGAGGGGGACAGUGAGACUGAGAGACGGCCCAGGGUCCUACGCGAGGCAGCGGUGGGGAAGAUAGGAAGAAGGGGGGGAGCCUGAAGCAGGGAGGCCGCGUGGAGGAUGACGGCCUUCGGGGUGUAAGCUCCUUUCGGGAGCGAAAACGCCACCUGGUUGGAAGGGUGGUGACGGUAGUUGUAAAGAAAGCACCGGCUAACUACGUG